CCUACGGGUGGCAGCAGUGAGGAAUAUUGGUCAAUGGGCGAGAGCCUGAACCAGCCAAGUCGCGUGAGGGAGUACUGCCCUAUGGGUUGUAAACCUCUUUUGUCGGGGAGCAAAAGCCGGACGUGUCCGGCUGUGAGAGUACCCGAAGAAAAAGCAUCGGCUAACUCCGUGCCAGCAGCCGCGGUAAUUCGGAGGAUGCGAGCGUUAUCCGGAUUUAUUGGGUUUAAAGGGUGCGCAGGCGGAUUUUUAAGUCAGCGGUAAAAUCGUGGGGCUCAACCCCAUCCAGCCGUUGAAACUGGUUUUCUUGAGUGAGCGAGAAGUAUGCGGAAUGAGUGGUGUAGCGGUGAAAUGCAUAGAUAUCACGCAGAACUCCGAUUGCGAAGGCAGCAUACCGGCGCUCAACUGACGCUCAUGCACGAAAGUGUGGGUAUCGAACAGGAUUAGAUACCCUAGUAGUC
rnacentral:rRNA from 1 species